rnacentral:rRNA from 1 species
CGAUGUCCGAAUGGGGAAACCCAGUGUGACUCGUCACACUAUCAUUAACUGAAUCCAUAGGUUAAUGAGGCGAACCGGGGGAACUGAAACAUCUAAGUACCCCGAGGAAAAGAAAUCAACCGAGAUUCCCCCAGUAGCGGCGAGCGAACGGGGAGGAGCCCAGAGUCUGAAUCAGUUUGUGUGUUAGUGGAAGCGUCUGGAAAGUCGCGCGAUACAGGGUGAAAGCCCCGUACACAAAAAUGCACAGGCUGUGAGCUCGAUGAGUAGGGCGGGACACGUGGUAUCCUGUCUGAAUAUGGGGGGACCAUCCUCCAAGGCUAAAUACUCCUGACUGACCGAUAGUGAACCAGUACCGUGAGGGAAAGGCGAAAAGAACCCCGGCGAGGGGAGUGAAAAAGAACCUGAAACCGUGUACGUACAAGCAGUGGGAGCAUCCUUCGGGGUGUGACUGCGUACCUUUUGUAUAAUGGGUCAGCGACUUAUAUUCUGUAGCAAGGUUAACCGUAUAGGGGAGCCGAAGGGAAACCGAGUCUUAA